rnacentral:rRNA from 1 species
UACGUAGGGACCAAGCGUUGUUCGGAUUUACUGGACGUAAAGGGCGCGUAGGCGGCAAUUCAAGUCAGUUGUGAAAUCUCCGAGCUUAACUCGGAACGGUCAACUGACACUGUUUUGCUAGAGUGCAGAAAGGGCAACCGGAAUUCUUGGUGUAGCGGUGAAAUGCGUAGAUAUCAAGAGGAACACCUGAGGCGAAGGCAGCCCCCUGGGUCAAGACUGACGCUCAUGCACGAAAGCGUGGGAGCAAACAGG